GCUGGAGGGCAGAGAUGCCUGUUGCUGCCAUCUGAGGGUGGCAGAGACACCGUGUGUGAGGUGUGAGUGUGUGGAUGACCUGGUCAGCCUGGUGGCAGAGCUCAAGGAGGAGGUGGAGAGGUCAAGGGCUAUCAGGGAGUGUGAGAGGGAGAUAGACUGGUGGAGCAACUCCCUGCCAGGCCUGAAGGAAAGGCACUGGGGUGAGACACCCCAAACAGUGGUGGACCCUCUGCCCUGUCACUAUCGGGCAGAGGGAGGGAACCUAGGAGAUGAAGAGGAAUGGAAACAGGUCACUGCUCAGCAUCACAGGCAACCCCCCUCUCUACCAGCAUCGUCUUCCCAGGUGCCCUUACAUAACGGGUUUGAGGUGCUGGAGAUUGAGAGACUGGUGGGUGAAGAUGAAGUGAAAAGUCUACACAGGAGGAUGCCUAGGGCGAGGAAGUCAACUCCACGCCUCAAGACUGCCUCCACUAAGAAAGAAAGACGGUUGAUUGUUGUAGGCGACUCCCUUCU